rnacentral:rRNA from 1 species
GUGCACGCUGGCGGUAGGCCUCACCCCUGCAAGUCGAACGGCAGCACAGUAAGCGCUUGCUCUUACGGGUGGCGAGUGGCGGACGGGUGAGGAAUACAUCGGAAUCUACUUUUUCGUGGGGGAUAACGCAGGGAAACUUACGCUAAUACCGCAUACGACCUACGGGUGAAAGCAGGGGAUCUUCGGACCUUGCGCGAUUGAAUGAGCCGAUGUCGGAUUAGCUAGUUGGCGGGGUAAAGGCCCACCAAGGCGACGAUCCGUAGCUGGUCUGAGAGGAUGAUCAGCCACACUGGAACUGAGACACGGUCCAGACUCCUACGGGAGGCAGCAGUGGGGAAUAUUGGACAAUGGGCGCAAGCCUGAUCCAGCCAUACCGCGUGGGUGAAGAAGGCCUUCGGGUUGUAAAGCCCUUUUGUUGGGAAAGAAAAGCAGCAGGUUAAUACCCCGCUGUUCUGACGGUACCCAAAGAAUAAGCACCGGCUAACUUCGUG